AAGGGAGACCUAAUUCAGGUAGGAGACAAAAAAAAGUAGUCCCUACCAAGAAUCAAUCCCAAAAGGUCGGAGCGAGGCAAAAUUGGCUUUCAAACUAGGUUCUGGGUUCACAUAAGACCUGAAUCAGGAACAAGGGCUAUUAGCUCAGGUGGUUAGAGCGCACCCCUGAUAAGGGUGAGGUCCCUGGUUCGAGUCCAGGAUGGCCCACCUGCACAGGUGGCAAAAACAAAGAAAAGAAGCUCCGAAUCAGCACCUUAUCUUACUCAUAUAGUAAGAGAGAAUGCUGGCUCUGAGUUCAGAGUCCAGAGGAACCUUGAAAACUGCAUAGAGCUAGGUGAAAAAGCCAAAAAAGAAGACCGCAAGGUCAAGCUAAUAAGGGCUAACGGUGGAUACCUAGGCAC
rnacentral:tRNA from 1 species